AGUCGAACGGUAAGUUAGUUGCUUGCAACUAACACGAGUGGCGCACGGGUGAGUAACGCGUACGCGACCUGCCCUCAAGAGGGAAAUAGCCCUGGGAAACCGGGAUUAAUGUCCCAUGUGAUUGUAUUUCUAAGGGAUAUAGUUAAAGGAGCGAUCCGCUUGAGGAUGGGCGUGCGUGCUAUUAGCUAGUUGGUGAGGUAAUGGCUCACCAAGGCGACGAUAGCUAGGGGGCGUGAGAGCGUGACCCCCCACACGGGUACUGAGACACGGACCCGACUCCUACGGGAGGCAGCAGUAAGGAAUAUUGGACAAUGGGGGCAACCCUGAUCCAGCCAUCCCGCGUGCAGGAAGACGGCCCUAUGGGUUGUAAACUGCUUUUAUUAGGGAAGAAUAGCAUCAAUGAAUUGGUGUAUGACGGUACCUAAAGAAUAAGCACCGGCUAACUCCGUGCCAGCAGCCGCGGUAAUACGGAGGGUGCAAGCGUUAUCCGGAAUCACUGGGUUUAAAGGGUGCGUACGUGGAAUAAUAAGUCAGGCGUGAAAGGUUACAGCUUAACUGUAGACUUGCGUUUGAUACUGUUAUUCUUGAAUUAAGAUGAGGUUGGCAGAAUGCGACAUGUAGCGGUGAAAUGCAU
rnacentral:rRNA from 1 species